rnacentral:misc_RNA from 1 species
GUGAACGCCCUCACGGGCUUAUACUAUUCCAAACCUCUGCGAACCGUGCCCUUCGGGGCUAUUUUACAAACAUGGUGUAAUGAACGUCAUAUAUCAUAACAAAACA